rnacentral:rRNA from 1 species
AGAGUUUGAUCCUGGCUCAGGAUGAACGCUGGCGGCGUGCCUAACACAUGCAAGUCGAACGGAGCCUAAUCAGCAGAAGCGGACAGCUUGCUGGAAGCGGAAGCAGAAAAGGCUUAGUGGCGGACGGGUGAGUAACGCGUGGGUAACCUGGCCCAUACAGGGGGAUAACACUUAGAAAUAGGUGCUAAUACCGCAUAACAACAGAAAGCGCAUGCUUUGUGUUUGAAAACUGAGGUGGUAUGGGAUGGACCCGCGUCUGAUUAGCUGGUUGGCGGGGUAAUGGCCCACCAAGGCGACGAUCAGUAGCCGGCCUGAGAGGGUGGACGGCCACAUUGGGACUGAGACACGGCCCAAACUCCUACGGGAGGCAGCAGUGGGGAAUAUUGCACAAUGGGGGAAACCCUGAUGCAGCGACGCCGCGUGAGUGAAGAAGUAAUUCGUUAUGUAAAGCUCUAUCCGCAGGGAAGAAAAUGACGGUACCUGAUUAAGAAGCCCCGGCUA